AAUAUUGCACAAUGGAGGAAACUCUGACGCAGCGACGCCGCGUGAGCGAUGGAGGUCUUCGGAUCGUAAAGCUCUGUCCUUGGGGAAGAAGGGAGCCGUAAGGCCUCUUGCCGGUACCCAUGGAGGAAGCCCCGGCCAACUACGUGCCAGCAGCCGCGGUCAUACGUAGGGGGCAAGCGUUGUCCGGCAUUAUUGGGCGUAAAGGGUGCGUAGGCGGCCCUUUAAGUCAGAUGUGAAAGCCCACGGCUUAACCGUGGGAAUGCAUUUGAAACUGGAGGGCUUGAGUGUCGGAGAGGGCAGUGGAAUUCCCAGUGUAGCGGUGGAAUGCGUAGAUAUUGGGAGGAACACCAGUGGCGAAGGCGACUGCCUGGACGAUAACUGACGCUGAGGUACGAAAGCGUGGGUAGCGAACA
rnacentral:rRNA from 1 species